rnacentral:misc_RNA from 1 species
GGAAUAAUGUUGAAGGAAGCAGCUCUUCCACCUCUCCAGUCCUUCAUUGACGGCCCAUCAACAGUCUUCUGAGUGGCAGUAAUGGAGUGGACAGUGGUCAUGAGACCCUCAACAAUUCCAAAUCUAUCGUGAAUGACCUUGGCCAAGGGGGCAAGGCAAUUGGUGGUGCAGCUUGCAUUGGAAACAAUGUCAAGUUCUGGCUUGUAUUCCUUCUCG